GAUGAACGCUGGCGGCGUGCCUAAUACAUGCAAGUCGAGCGAACGGACGAGAAGCUUGCUUCUCUGAUGUUAGCGGCGGACGGGUGAGUAACACGUGGAUAACCUACCUAUAAGACUGGGAUAACUUCGGGAAACCGUAGCUAAUACCGGAUAAUAUUUUGAACCGCAUGGUUCAAAAGUGAAAGACGGUCUUGCUGUCACUUAUAGAUGGAUCCGCGCUGCAUUAGCUAGUUGGUAAGGUAACGGCUUACCAAGGCAACGAUGCAUAGCCGACCUGAGAGGGUGAUCGGCCACACUGGAACUGAGACACGGUCCAGACUCCUACGGGAGGCAGCAGUAGGGAUUCUUCCGCAAUGGGCGAAAGCAUGACGGAGCAACGCCGCGUGAGUGAUGAAGGUCUUCGGAUCGUAAAACUCUGUUAUUAGGGAAGAACAUAUGUGUAAGUAACUGUGCACAUCUUGACGGUACCUAAUCAGAAAGCCACGGCUAACUACGUG
rnacentral:rRNA from 1 species